rnacentral:lncRNA from 1 species
GUAGCUGCUAAUUGGAACCAUUGCAGACAGGGAGGAGAGGGACAGCAGCAGCAGCAGCAGCCCUGGAAGUGGUAGUAAUUCCAACCUCAGCACUCCCACCCCCUCCUUACACCUAGCAGCAUGAGAGAGAGGAGAGAGACAUGCUAGCAGAGUGGAACAGAGGAGGCUGUUCAAGAACCAGGAGGGACCAGCUAUAUGUGGUCUUGGGCCAGCCCUGGGCUGUCUUUGUCUAGGGGAUCCUGGUGUUGAAAACCAACAGCAACUAGGUGAGCAAGGGCCUCGGAGAUAUACAGAGUAAGGAGACUACAUGGAAGGGCCACCAACAGACUCCCAGAGUUGCUGAUUAAAGACUCAGACCCCAGCCCUCACAGUCAGAGGCCAAGGUGUUCAUGAGAAAAAUGCACAAAAUCCCGACUGACCGGAAUAAUUCAUGAAGAAGGGGCUGAAUCCGUGGGUCAGAGAACACAGGACCAGUUUGCCAUCCCAAGGCGGAAGUCUGGUGACUCGGAUUUGGCCCUGCGUUUCCCACUCCUGCUGCAUCUUACCCAGUCGAGGAACGAAAGGUCUUGACACCUUCCUGAAGCAUGGGAAGAAAGGAGGUUCUGAAAGCACAGAUCCAAGACCACCAGAGGCCGGGGACAGCGAUUCCUGGAGGGGCCGCUCACACAACACCAGGAGCUGAGGAGAACUGGAGCAGGAGGAACAUGGGCCCAACAAGGGUGGAAAUACCAGCAAUUCCAAAAGUCAUCUACAUCAGUGCCCAGGACGCCCAUGCAGAACCCACUGAAUGGAAGAAAACGUGGUGGCUGCUUCCUCAAUUUGCAACUGCAGAAGCUGGAAUAAGGGCCUGAGAAGGCAGAGAAGCCACAUGAGUCCAGUCCCAAAGCUGUCAGAGUAACCCUGAGGGAACUGUCUACUGAAUUAUGACCAGUUGUGCCAACAGACAUUGAGAAGAGACCUCCUUUCCAUUGGCUCCUAUCACACCUGGCUGCCACUGCUCCUGGGAUCUGGACCAUCUUGUAUCCACCUUUGAGCGUCACUUCCUGUUUCAGCUGUGGGAGUUCUGGUCCACUUUCCCUGUGAAGAAACCUUCACUUUUUCCUCCUUUGGAGUUCUGGAUUAGACUCUUGUACCUGGAACUGGGUCAAGUUAGGCUAAACGCACCUCUAGGCAUUCCUGUUUCUCAGAAGUUGUCAAGUUCACAUCAUACCUGUUUCAUUGGUGACCAGGGGUCCACUUCUAGCAGAUGCUACCUGGCCUGGUCAGUAUUUUUCAUGGUCAUCUCUUUAGUGCCUUUAUCUCAUCCCCUGCCCAACUCAGGUGAGACUUGCCCAGUGGUGACUUCUCUCCUGGUACUUUAGAUAGGGAGAGAAAAUGUGGCUUGGUGGAUCUGCCAUCUUCUUCAGUUUGGAGGCAAUUGGAGCAUGGCUCCAUCUAGGGAGGAAAAUGACUCCGAAAGAGACUGUCCUUAUCUCAGCUUCUGCCCUGUUCUACUCUCACAAUCCUUAUUCUUGCCCUUUGUGCCUGUCCUAAUGCAGGAGAAUUGUGGUUUUCUUUUUUCUAUUAAAUAUAACUGUAGCUAUUUUCAUUAUUGCAAAACAGCACAAGCUUAUUACGAAAACAUGAGAAAUAUAGACAAUAGAAGACAAAAAAUAUUCCCAAAUUUUAUCCCAAAGACAAGACAACUAUUGAUUCAUAUAGUUAUACAAUAUCAUACACAUAUACUACAUAUAUUUAUAUAUUUAAUGUGACUAUAAUAUCACAAUACCAUUUAUAUUCUUUGAUAACACAUCUUGUCAUUUAAUGUCUUAUGAAUAUAUUUCUAUAGCAACAAGCUCAGCUAUACUGAAAUUUUAAGAGUACUCAAUUGUAUAUAUGCCCUCAUUUAUCUCAUCUCACAUAGUUUAAUGUUUAGGCUGUUACCUCCUUUUCUAUAUUGUCAUUAAUGAUCAUGGAUUUAGUUUAAUCUUCCUAUAAUUAUUUCCGUAAGGUAAAUCCUUAGAAAGGGAUCGAAGGAUGAGUAGUAAAGGUUGCAAAGCUCUCCGAAUCUGGAGCCAGCAAUAACUGCUCAGACUCCCUUAAAAAUAAGAGCUCUAGGAAGGCCACACAUGCCCUUUCCCAGAUUCCUUCCCAUAGCUACACUUGGGCAGCCCUGACUUCUUUCACCUUGCCCUGAACGGAGAAUAGCCCUGAGAGAUGGCUGAGGAACAGGUAGUGAAUGAGCGAGUGGUGGUGUCAGUUUGGGUUUGGUUUUUGGAUAAACUUCACAGUUCCUCAUUGGAUGCUGAGAAAUGAUUAUUCAUUCAUGACCCAUUUAUGGAAGAGCCAUUGCUUCCAGAUGCCAGGCUAGAGGCUGAGAAGACAGAGAUGGAUUAAACAGGAAUUCUUCUCUCAGGAAUAGCACAGCCUAGGGAAGGAAGGCCCGUGAUAGACAGCACACAUUUACUCCAUGAUAAAGAGGAAACGUAUAAGAUCAGUAAUAUAUCUCAGGGAAGAAAACUGGAACCAUCUAAAAUCCCACAGGGAAAAUAUGAGGUUCCUGCAGUCUACUAGCCCAUUCAUCUCAGCUAACACCUUUGUGUGGAUCCUUUGGUGGUGAGACUUGCUCGCUUGUGGUCAUCCUUGCUAAACACAACCUGCCCAAAGGCAUUGACCGUGUCCUUCCUUUGCACCUCUAGCAAACUGGUACCAUCUUAUACCAUGGCUUCUGAAAUCUGUUCAGUGUAAAAUCCAAAUUAGAGUAAACAAAAUUAAAGGUAAAGAGAUUCAUGAGUUGAAACAAAGACUCAAUGUUUUAUGUAUGUAAGAAAAUUUGCAUUAAUUCAUAUCCUUCUGCCUGAUAGAAACUUUCUCAGAUAUUUCAUUAUAGAAGAAACAAUCACAUUCCAGAAAAUGUGGGAAGUAGAGAAAAGGAGAAUUAUCAGCCCAUCUCACCAUCCUAACCCAGGGCAAAUAGCAUUCUAGUGACCUUUGCCCUGAAAAAUUUGUAUUAAGAUGGUGUUGAGGACAAGAGCUAAGGAACAUGUGAGUUUUUCAUCUCCAAUUUUAUUGUGAAUAAAUAUAUCUGAUAGUGAAUUAUAUUCAUGUAGUUCAAAAUUCAAAAACACAAAAACAGAGACUGAAAAGUCCAUGAACCCCAGCCUCUAUUACUUGGAGACAUCCAGGAGUCUCAGUGUCUUGUGUAUCCUUCUAGAGUUUUUGUGCAUAUUAAACCAUGCGUGUUUAUAAAAUAUGAGUUUUGACUAGAGGGCUUUGGCAAAACUGUUACCAAAUGUCCUAAAUUUAGCUAAACUAUCUUCAGUAAUUUUAAUGGCAGGCCUGAGGUACAGAUGGAGAAGAGAAAAGGAUGGAGAGAGCGAGAGAGAGAGAGAGAGAGAGAGAGAGUGCUCCUGAGGGAGAGCGUGAAAGAAAGAGCAAUCUUUCAUUUAUCCAACUAGUAUUUAUUGAGCAGAUAUUACAUCUCAGAUAUUAUUCUAUGCCCAGGUGAUACAAGAGUGAAAAAAAUUCCCUGACUUCAUGGGGAUUAAGAAUGGAAGGUGGCAAACAAUAACCAUAAUCAAAAAGUAAAUUAUAAAGUCCAUCAGAAUGUGAUAAGCGUUAUGGAAAAACACAAGUGGGGUCCAGGAGAUGAGGCACAUCAGGAGACAGUUUUAACAUGAGUGGUCAGGGAGGGCUUCACUGAGGAGGCCUUAAAGGAGGCGAGAAGAUGGGCCCUGCAGAUACUCAGGGAAAGGGCACUGCAGAGGGAAGAAGCAAUGCACAGGCCUCGCAGCAGAAGUCAAGGCCUGGAGGUUUCCAGCAGCCAACCUCCUCCAGCUCCGGGCUGUUCCUGGUAACCUGUGCCCGCAGCUGGCUUCCCUUGGAGUUCAGGUCAGGCCGGUGUGUUUGGGCCAUAGUGCUAAGCUUACUGUAUACUAGACGUCAGUUUGUCUUCUCUCUAAAUUUUGAUUCUGAUGCUUAAUUUGACUCCUUCCAAGGUGAUUCUGUGGUUAGUCUGAAUAAGGAAAGGAGAGGGGCAGUGUUAUUGUAGUAGGUAGACAAGGUUGACAUUUGGGGGUCCUGGCUUUUAAACCAAUUCUGUUUUCAAGUCUUUUGUCAGACACAUUAUUCAACCUUUCCGGUCCUCAGGUUUGUCUCUUAGGAAACAAAAAGAAUGUGCUUAGUUGGCUUUAGGGCUGUCCCUACCAUUGGUUUUCAAGCUCUGUGACCAUGUGAGCAGUCCAGGUAGGAAGUGGCAUCAGAUGACAUCUAGCAACACCAGGGGACACAGAGGAGCUUCUGCCUGCAGAGGACUGUGUGCAUGAUAUGUGCCGCCACCUCGUUUCCCUUCUAGACUAGAAGAGCCCAGACCAGAAGAGCCCAGACCAUCCUUCAAAUAGAAUAUUUCACCUGAAUAAGCCCAGAAUUCCCUAAGUGAACAGAGGAGACAUGGGGACACGGUUAAUUGCUUUGUUCUUGUGCCGUUGGCAGUAUGGUUCCCUUUAAGCCCAGAAGGGCUCCUUUCCCCUGCCCCUUGGCGGAGCUCAUUCUCCAUAGGCAGUAGGGGUGGCAUGCUGGGGCCAGGGCUCCUUGUUUUGUUCCUUUGGGCCACAGAGGUCCCCUCCCUGUUUAGUGUCUUCCAGUUGGACACAGGGAGUCUUCGUCUACCUGGGGAAUAAGACACUGAGGAGGAGGGAAGCGUGUCAUGGACACCACUCUCCUUCCAGCAAAGUCACUGUGAAUUUAAAACUCAGACUGUGUGUAAGAGGUUGUGGGGGCAGAAAGGGGCCUUUGGAAAUUUCAUUUGGAGGCAGAGGUGCUAAACAUGAAUAGAAGCCUUUGCUUUGACUCUCAGAGGGUGAGUCACCUUGGUUAUAGUUACUCUUGGUUAUUCCUUGCUUUUUCUUUUGUUAUCUCCGCCCGCACCCCCGCCAUACCCACCCAUCUUUAGCAUUCUUAGCUGCUUUUCUACAGGUCAGCUGAAAAGUGACUUGCAGAAUAGGGCUUCUCUUCCCCUAUUGGAGUUCAUGGGCAUUAUGUUUCCUAGCACUGGGAGGAAAUAUACACGACCAUGCACUUUCCACUCAUAAAGGACCCUGAGGUAUUUAAUUGUGAAAAUCAACUUCUGAUUUAUGUUACUUUCCCAGUGCCUUUUCUUUACACACAUAUGAAAAUUGCUCUAUUACUUCUUACAUUUCAUGCAGUGCCCUUUGUCUCCAUCAACUGUUGUGGAGAGAAAUUUUAUUUGGAAUAUUCAUAACAAGUCUAUCGCUAAUUAUCACUUUAACAAUGUGUUAUGGAGUGUAUCCAUGCAGUCAUCUGGAAAAGCACAUAUGCCAUGAAAUUUGGGGACUUGCUGUGUGCUGUAGGUGCCCAGUCUCAGUGUUUCAUCAGAUCUUUGCUUGGGGAGGAGGUAGAGGUGCUUUGUGAGGGAGUAUGGAGGCCUGCAUCCUGCAUUCCUGUCCUCAUAGCAACAGUUUCCAGGGUGACUUGUUUUUGAGUGUAAAAAAAACCUUAAUGUGAAACAAAAACCCUUCCCUACUCUGCAGCCCUAUUACGGUCAGCCCAGGUCAGUGCCAGGUAGACUGAUCUUAGCCACAGAGCUAAUCGCAGAUGAAGACCCUGCUGUUCUUGGUGCCAUCCUGGCACUCUGGCAAGAAGAGUGGAGCUAAAAUUGCCACCUGGUUGGCAGGCCUCAGAAGCAAAUGGAGAGUGACCUCAGCAUGUCAGAAUGAGAAAGGAAAGAAUGCCUCGGUGUUUCUUUCUUCCUGCUCUCUUUUCUCUGGGAAAGGAGAAUGGACUCACACUGGGUUUCUUCUCCAGGAUUCUCAGUGAGUCUGGGAUUUGGGAGGCUAGAAUCAUAUUUUUACCAGGACACAUGGAGCGCUUCCCUCUGAAGCUUCCUGAUGGACAUGGAUGAAGCCCCAGAGGCUGCCUCCAAAUGAGGGCAGAGUAAUGGAGCCUAAUGGAGCACAGCUCCUAGUCUGAGCACAGUCCUACCGCAGGGAUAAAUCAAGCAGCCUUUAGGUGGGGCCAGGAAGGGGACAGAGGGAAAUGAAUGACUGUGUUGAGCUCAGCAUGACUUUGUGGAUCCUCUGAAGCUUUUAACUAAGUGGAGGAUUCAGACUCAGGAAUUUACUGAGGAAUAUGACUUGGAAGGAUGGAAAGUUGCAUCUGUUAUAACAAGCUUUUAAGGAUGAGUUUUCAGAGCACUUGGAGCCUGGUUUUGUUGGAUGUUACUUUAGAAAUAAUAACUACUUAUUAUUUGUUAAGUGCUUACUCAGUACUAGGCACAUUGUUCAUCAUAAUCAAUAAUACCUAACAUUGAUGGAGUAUUUGUGAUGUACCAAACUCUCAAGCACUUUAGAUUCUGACUUAACUAGGUCCUAGAAGGAAGCCCCCAUUGGAGUCAUCACUAAUAUGUAGAGAAAUUGAGGCUCAGGGUAUUAGAUAACUUACCAGAAACACUAAGGAAACCAGUAGCUUUAGGUCAGUCACUUACCUGUUUCAGGACACAGAGCACAGAGGCUUUCCCCCUUUACCCUUUAUGAAACAGCAGGAGAGGACGGGGGCUGUAUCUCAGUGGUAGAGCUCUUGCCUAGCGUGUGCAAGGCUCUGGGUUUGAUCCCUUGUACCACAAAAACAAAACAACCAUAACAACAGCAAAACCAGCAGGAGAAAGUGCUGAGAAACAGCAAGAAAGUGGGGCACUGAAAGGGGACAGGAGUCUGUGUAGCCCUGGGUCAGUGCUGGUACAAAGCUGGCCUUAUGACCUGGGUGCUUUGCAUCUGUUAUAAUGCACUGUGAAAACCCAGUGUUAGCUGUUGUCCUAAAGAACUGAUUCAAUAAACCCUACAUUUCUGGACAUUUGGUUUCCUUGUUUCUAUUUGGGUGGCACUAGGAUUUGGGAGGAGCUAGUUGGGAAUGUAUUUAAGGAGGAAAACUUUGGAUGUGGUUUUAGAAACAAGGCACCACAACCAGACUGUGAUGCAGGCUUCAUCUGUGGACAGGUGUAUGUGGACAGGUGCAUUGUGCAGGCACCAGCGCGGGCAGAGGAAGUGGUAGGUUUGAAGGUAGCAAAAUAGGGCGGCUUUGUUGUUGUCUGGCAUGGGCCCUGCCAGGCCACAUCCAUUAACUAUGCCAACACCACUGCUAAUAGGUGGGUGAUUCAGCUCCUUCCUGCAUUUUAUUGCCCAACAGAGACUUUAAUAGCCUUUUGAUUUAGCAAGUUAACAAAGUAAGCUCUCAAGCUCCACUGUUUAACACCAGCUGGAUGACCCUGGGCCUGCUGCUGCCUGGAGCCCUCUGGUACAGUCUUUGCAUUGAAAGAAGAGAAAGCUGUGGAAUUUUCAGGCUCUCCUCGAGAGCUCCUUUUGGGGCAGCCCUGCCAGCCCAGCAUGCUUAGACCCCUCCGAUGUCAUAUGUCGCCCCCGCCCCCAUCAGUCCAGCCGCAGAAGAGAUCUGUCUAGAAGUUAAUAUCCCAGGAACCUAAAGGUUGGGUGUCUUUGAGGAAGAGUGUCAGAUGAGAAUGUGAGGGUUCCCGGAUGGGGCUCUUUAUUGAUUUCCUGGAACUAUUGUGUAACAAAUUAUCACAAACUGGAUAAUUUAAACAAUAAACACAUUCUACCACAGUUCUAAAAGCCAGAAGUUUGAACUCAAGGUGUUGGUAGGGCCAUGCUCCCUCAGAAGGCCCUAGAGAAGGACCUUUGCAUGUCUCUUACUGGCUUCUGGUGGUUGCCAGUGAUCCUUACUGUCCCUUAGCUCGUAGACACAUCACUCUGUCUCUGCCUCUGUGGCCACACAGCCUUCUCCCUGUGUACGUCUUAUAAGGACACAAGCUGUAUUGGAUUUGGGGUCCACACAACUCCAGGAUGCUCUCAUCUUAACUAGUUACAGCUGGAAAGGCCCUGUUUGAAAGCAACAUAAGAGUCUGAGGUUCUGGGUGGACCUGAAUGUCCAGGCCCUUUAAAAGCAAGUGAAAAGAGGUAGGCCAUGUGGUAGCUGAUUCACACAGCUAGAGAGAGGUGGUUUCAGACAACACUUUCUGGUACAACUUUGUGCAGUGAUGGGAAGGCCCUGUAGCUGCACUGCUGAAAAUGUGGCUAAUGCGACAGAGGAACUGAAUUUAGCAUUGUGAUUGAUUUAAAUUAAGUUAAACAGUCAAGUCAUGUGACCAGGGGCUACUGUUGCAGAGAGCAAAGCCCUCAACCAGUGAAGGUGAACCUUUUAGAAACUGAGUGCCCAAACUGCAACAUAGAACCUACUUAUUUAUCGCAAAGUGCCAACACUGCCAUUAAACCCGAAUACUGAGGCUUUAGUUUAGAAAAGACAACUCAUAUAAUAAUAUCUUUUGUCUUGAAAGAAAAACAAAUAACACACGUGUCAUAGGUUCACCACCGCUGCCCUAAACCCUCCUGAGUGUGGAAUAGGAGAAGGAGACGUGAAGGCUGUCAAAGUCUGGGCAGGGCCAUUUGCAUCCAGGAUGGCCAUCAGCUGUUUAGGAUGCUGAUCAAGGUCUGCAGGGGUCUCUUUCCGUCUCCGGCUAGAGGAAGGACAUCACAUGGGAUCUCAGCACACAGGACAAUGGUCUCGGGAGUUCUUAAACCAGCAGCACCUCUUCCAAAGGAAGUCAUUUGUACUUUUGACAUGUAGGACCAUUAGUUGGAAGAGAGGCUGAUUUGGAUGGAGGUCAGAGACCUUCAUAGGGUUCCACCUUGCCUUCUCUUGAACCCUGAACCACAAAGUGAGGAAAUUAUGGUUGAGCCUACCAACCAUGUGAGAGAACAAGAAAUGGAGGUUCAGAGAAGUAGAGAAACUUAACAAGGUCACAGAGCAAGUGGUUUGAUGAAUAUCGUUAUCUUUGGAUUUCUGAGGAUCCAUUCCUGGGUCCUUCUAAAGUCCUUGAUGCCCUUUUUGAAAGAAGAUACUCAGUCUACUAGUCAGCUACUAUGAAAAAACUACUCUAAGGUCAGAUGCAACUUCUGGCUUAAUCACAACAGAAUUAAUGUUUGUUCGGUUGCUGGUUUUGUUUUGUGAACUGGCUGAGAUCUGUAGGUGAGUAUUAUGCAUGGGUACCCUUUCCAGGUGCCACUCAUCAAAUGCACACUAUAUGCCAUUACAGGCUGAGUAGAGUCCUUCAUUUCAUUGUAUCAUUGAAUCUCCAUAGGUUGGUGAUGUUGGUAUUACUGAUCCCAUUUGGGGAAAACUGAGGCUCAUGGGAGUGGGAGGCAGGGUUCCCAACCCAUGCCUUUUGCUCAGGGAGUUGCUGUCUCCUUAGAAGGAUGGUAAAGAAAUAUAAAAUAUCUGUCAUGAAUUAGGAAGAAUGUCCUAAAAUCUCAAGGUGCCAUUUAAAGGCAAAGACCAGUGUGGCUCGUGAGGGAAGGAGAGGCCAGACCAGGAGGUGACCACAAGCAGGUACAAGGCAGCCAGGCAUCCCAACGCAAUGCUGUGGUAAGAAAGCAAGGAGUAGAACAGCGUUGUGGAAAGUGAAAACCGCCUAGGAUGUGUGGGAGGCUGGAGGCAGAUGGGUGUGGAUGAGAAGGGCAAUAGGAGGGAUCCUUGUGUGAUGGAAAUGCUCUGUCUUUUCCCUGUAUCCAUGACUUGCCAUGAUAUUGUGGUAUAAGGUAGUUUUGCAAGACGUCGGCAUUGGGGGAAACUGGGUGAAGGGUACGUGAGAAUUCUAUGUGAAUCUAUACAAGUUUAAUUUUUAAAAUAUAUACAGAGUCUACUCCCAAAAAUGUAUAUACACUCCAAGAAAAGAAAUAUAGGAUGAUGUUUUUCCAACCCUCGUAUGGGGAAUCCUAGAGGAUGUCGUAUAUCGCAGAAAACCCACUCCACUGCUAGCCCUUAGAGAAGAAAUUAAAAGUACACGUGCAGCAAUUUCAAUGACCAAGGUUACACAAGCAGUAGUUGGCUGUACUAACAAAGUUCUGGAAGCCAGUGACCACACUUUGGCCACCUCUUGUAACUGUAGAGGCUGAAGGUAACUUACAUUAAACUCAUGAUGUCUCAAUAAAUUUAGUAUUAAAAUAUUUAUACAAGCUUUUCUUUUCUUGAAGUGCAUAUACUUUUUUGGUGAACUCUGUAUAUAUAUGGGAGAGAGAGUGGAGUUCACAGACCCCCAGCCCUUCACCCCUUGCAUGCACUCCAGGAGAAGCUUGCAUGGUGUCUUUUUGCAGCAAGGUAUCUUCAGGUGUCUGUCCUGGAUGCCUUUGGGCAGGACCAAGAGGAAUACAUGCCUGAGAGCUAGGCAGAUGGCACUCGGAGAGACAGAUGGCCAGAAUCCCCAGAGGUGGGAGCACUCACUGAGCACCUACUAGGUGCCAGGUGCUGUUCCAGGGCUAGAGACUGAGGUUAGGAAAGCUGGUGCAGCUUCCCACAGGUUUGCAUUGUACAGUUGAAGACAGAUGUAAACCAGGAACAGGGCAAUGCCAGGUGGUGACAGGUGCUGUGAAGAAGAUGAAAGAGCAGAGUGUGACAGAGUAGCUGGGGGCUGCUUUUGCUGGAGCAGUCAGGGAAGGCUUCUUUGAGGAAAACCUAAGUGAGAAGGAGGCAGCCAUGGGGACAUGUGAGGGAGAGUAUUCUAUGCAGGAGGAAGAGCAGGUGCAGGAUCUCUGAGACAGGAAUAAGCUUGUGCACGAGGGGCAAGAUGAAGACCAUAGGAAGGGAAGCACUGGCAUUGGGAGCUGGAGGGCGAUGAAGCUAAAAAGACAGGCAAAGGCCAGAUCCUAUAGGCAGGUGCUUGCAGAUGUUGGUAAGGAGUUGGUAUUGGGAGUCUCUGGCAGGUCUGAAGUAGGUACAUGGCCAGCUAUGUGUGGAUGGGUUUUAGAAGGGCAGGAGUGGAAAAUAGUAGACCACAUUGUACUACUGCAAUGGUCCAUGCAAGAGGGCAGUGUCAUGAGUAGGGCUUUGGCAUUGGCAUGGGAAACCUGUUGGAUUGGGGUUGCUCUGAGAGGAGAGCUAUCAGAGAUUUGCUGGUGGUUUACACAUGGAUGCGAUGGCAAGAAAAAGAUCCAGGAUGAUUCCCAGGUCUGCUGUUUCAUUCUAUCCCAGCUAACUCCAAAGGACUGGUCAGAGAAUGUCCUUCAGAGAAUAGCACUAAAAAUAGAUGAGAAUUGGGCUGAGCCUCAAAAAGUGUGGGUUGAAGGGGUGACCCCCUCACCAGUUUCACCACUCUGGUCCUUAGGCUCUUUCUUGCUGCAGGGAGCAGACCUGCUCUGCUUUUCUUGUACAUGGAGCUGAUUGUAAGAUGGUGGUGAGGUGAGGGGGUUUGGCAGCCAUCCUGGCAGUGGUCCUGUGACACCCAGGAGAACGGGGGCACAGUCUUCCCCCACCUAAGCAGCUAUCAGCAGACAUCAUAUACUGUCCAUGUCUCCACUGUUCUGAGCCAGCUGUGGUUUGGAGCCCCCUGCAGACAUGCUGCCUCCUCCUUCACUCUCUGGGCUGCACACUCCAGAUGCCCUGCAGGGAGAGUCUCCUAGGAUUGGCUGGUCCAUCCAGGCCAUGUCUGCAGGGCAGAGGGCUCGGGCCAGGCCAUUGCCAAGGCAGCUGGAGUCCUUGAUGCAUCCCCCAAAAGCCAUUGCCUUUGACUUGUUCUGGGCCUAGUUGUGGCCCAAGCAUCAUGGAACAGAAAAUGUGCAUAGCAGCACAAGUGCCCGGGGCUGGGUGUGACCUCCAGAGGUGUGGCAGGCAUUGGCAUAGACGUCCUGGACACAAAAGCUGUGCAAUUCAGGAAGGCCAGUGUCCAGUGGAUGAGAAGGACCUAACAUGUCAGUAAGGUGGACAGCUUCUGUCGGCAAAAGUGGGAGGCACGCAGAAAAUAACCUUGGAUUUGUGUAAUAGUAUCUCUUGUGAUGUGGGAUUAAUUUUAUCUUUGGUGCUGCAUCUUUGGUGGCCCAGGGAACGCUGCAUUUCUCCACUCUCUUCCGUCCAUCAAAGUGGCUCCUCAAAGAGCACUUCUCACAUUCCUCACCCCAAGGAUAGAACAGAAUCACCUCAAGCACAGAACCAUGGCCCUAGGGGACAUGGCCUUCACCUGCUUCCUUUUUAUCUGCCUCGCCUAAUUCAUCUUUCCUUUCUUUUUCUCCCUUAAUCCCUCGAAGUUAGCCAGGGAGGGGCAGAAAGGAAUCUUGGUUUUUGUCUGACUCUAUAGGAGUACAGUUGCUAGAACUGAACUGUGUUUCCCCUAAAUUCCUAGGUUGAGCCCGAAUCCUACUGUAAGUGUAUGUGGACAGAGGCCUUGAGGGGGGAAAGGGUCCUGCAGAGCACUGGUAUUCUUAGGAGAAGAGACGCUAGAGGUUGCUUCCUCCCCUGCACACACAGAGGAAAGUUCAUCGGGGUCAGACAGAAGGCAGAUGUCUACAAGCCAGGAAGAAAGUCCUCACUAGACAGCUAAUCCUCAGAACCUUGAUCUGAGACUCCGCAGCCUCCAGAACUUUGUGAAAUUACAC